UCUUUUCCUUUUUUUCCAGCAGCCGCGGUAAUACGGAAGGUCCGGGCGUUAUCCGGAUUUAUUGGGUUUAAAGGGAGCGUAGGCCGGAGAUUAAGCGUGUUGUGAAAUGUAGAUGCUCAACAUCUGCACUGCAGCGCGAACUGGUUUCCUUGAGUACGCACAAAGUGGGCGGAAUUCGUGGUGUAGCGGUGAAAUGCUUAGAUAUCACGAAGAACUCCGAUUGCGAAGGCAGCUCACUGGAGCGCAACUGACGCUGAAGCUCGAAAGUGCGGGUAUCGAACAGG
rnacentral:rRNA from 1 species